GCCGUUCUUUUGUAAUUAAAUGGUGCAAAAACAAUACCAAAGUGAACAAAAAGUCUGAAGAAAUAUCGUUUCACACGACCUACCGGAUGAGUCUAAAUCAGUCCUUAACCAAGAUUCAAUCUUUGAUACACCUAGAAAACAUAAACUAAGAGAAAAGUUAAAAAAACAGGAACUUUAUUAAAAAAAAAAUGUAAAAAAAUUAAAUCAUUAC
rnacentral:misc_RNA from 1 species